CGUCAAGUCCUCAUGGCCCUUAUGGGUAGGGCUUCACACGUCAUACAAUGGUACAUACAGAGGGCCGCCAACCCGCGAGGGGGAGCUAAUCCCAGAAAGUGUAUCGUAGUCCGGAUUGGAGUCUGCAACUCGACUCCAUGAAGUUGGAAUCGCUAGUAAUCGCGGAUCAGCAUGUCGCGGUGAAUACGUUCCCGGGUCUU
rnacentral:rRNA from 1 species